CCUUACUUUUUUUAUUUUAUUUUAUUUUAUUUGUGUAAACAAAACACUAUUACUCCCUCUUUCUCCUCCCAUACACAGACCCACGCCUCUCAACCUCUCCCAAAAAUACUGGAUUAGCAGGAUAUUGAUUUUGGGAUUAGAGAGGGUGUUGAUUUUAGGACAUAGCUUUUGGGAUUGGAGAAGAUAUGGGAUUGGUGGCAAAAAGAUAGCUUUUGUGAGGCUACUUGAACUCAAAUAAUUUUCUAUAAAGUUUGGAAGCUAAGACAUCAUUUGUAUAUAAAUGGUUGUAAUUACUUUGUGAACAUCU